rnacentral:rRNA from 1 species
UUAAAUUGAAGAGUUUGAUCAUGGCUCAGAUUGAACGCUGGCGGCAGGCUUAACACAUGCAAGUCGAACGGUAACAUGAGUGCUUGCACUUGAUGACGAGUGGCGGACGGGUGAGUAAGGUAUGGGGAUCUGCCGAGUGGCGAGGGACAACAGUUGGAAACGACUGCUAAUACCUCAUAAAGUUGAGAGACCAAAGCAUGGGAUCUUCGGACCAUGUGCCAUUUGAUGAACCCAUAUGGGAUUAGCUAGUUGGUGGGGUAAAGGCUCACCAAGGCGACGAUCUCUAGCUGGUCUGAGAGGAUGACCAGCCACACU